UCUUGGUCAUUUAGAGGAAGUAAAAGUCGUAACAAGGUCUCCGUAGGUGAACCUGCGGAGGGAUCAUUACACAAAUAUGAAGGCGGGCUGGAACCUCUCGGGGUUACAGCCUUGCUGAAUUAUUCACCCUUGUCUUUUGCGUACUUCUUGUUUCCUUGGUGGGUUCGCCCACCACUAGGACAAACAUAAACCUUUUGUAAUUGCAAUCAGCGUCAGUAACAAAUUAAUAAUUACAACUUUCAACAACGGAUCUCUUGGUUCUGGCAUCGAUGAAGAACGCAGCGAAAUGCGAUAAGUAGUGUGAAUUGCAGAAUUCAGUGAAUCAUCGAAUCUUUGAACGCACAUUGCGCCCUUUGGUAUUCCAAAGGGCAUGCCUGUUCGAGCGUCAUUUGUACCCUCAAGCUUUGCUUGGUGUUGGGCGUCUUGUCUCUAGCUUUGCUGGAGACUCGCCUUAAAGUAAUUGGCAGCCGGCCUACUGGUUUCGGAGCGCAGCACAAGUCGCACUCUCUAUCAGCAAAGGUCUAGCAUCCAUUAAGCCUUUUUUUUCAACUUUUGACCUCGGAUCAGGUA
rnacentral:rRNA from 1 species